UAUCCAUAUGCAUAAUGCAAUGCA
rnacentral:siRNA from 1 species